GUCGUAGCUCAGCUGGUAGAGCACCGGCUUGUGGAGCCGGUUGUCGUGGGUUCGAUCCCCAUCG
rnacentral:tRNA from 1 species